rnacentral:lncRNA from 1 species
ACUACAACCAAUUUUCUUCGGCAACCAUAGACGACAUACAGAAGUUAAUACAUAUGGACUACAAGAGGAUUUUUUUUUUUUUUUUUUUGCUCAACUUAAGAAGGUGUCAUUGUUCAUAACCUAAAUGAAUUAAAUUCAUAAACAUUUUGCUCCCAUCCGGCCUCUUGUCGGAGCUAGACCUAAUUUCCACCAUCUCCAUUGUAACCUCUGCAUUGUAAGGUACAUGCUAUCUGAUUUACUUACUAGUUGACUAGUUUCUGGUAUUUAAAUUCAAAGGAAACAUACUUAUCAUGGAGAGAAACAUAAAAGGAAUCAACGAGAAGGAGAUCA